rnacentral:rRNA from 1 species
CAUGUCUAAGUAUAAGCAAUUAUACAGCGAAACUGCGAAUGGCUCAUUAUAUAAGUUAUCGUUUAUUUGAUAGUGCCUUACUACUUGGAUAACCGUGGUAAUUCUAGAGCUAAUACAUGCUAAAAAUCCCGACUUCGGAAGGGAUGUAUUUAUUAGAUUAAAAACCAAUGCCCUCUGGGCUUUUUGGUGAUUCAUGAUAACUUCUCGAAUCGCACGGCCUUGCGCCGGCGAUGGCUCAUUCAAAUUUCUUCCCUAUCAACUUUCGAUGUUUGGGUAGUGGCCAAACAUGGUUGCAACGGGUAACGGAGGGUUAGGGCUCGACCCCGGAGAAGGAGCCUGAGAAACGGCUACUACAUCCAAGGAAGGCAGCAGGCGCGCAAAUUACCCAAUCCCGAUUCGGGGAGGUAGUGACAAUAAAUACUGAUACAGGGCUCUUUCGGGUCUUGUAAUCGGAAUGAGUACAAUUUAAAUCCCUUAACGAGGAACAAUUGGAGGGCAAGUCUGGUGCCAGCAGCCGCGGUAAUUCCAGCUCCAAUAGCGUAUAUUAAAGUUGUUGUGGUUAAAAAGCUCGUAGUUGAACCUUGGGCCUGGCUGGCCGGUCCGCCUCACCGCGAGUACUGGUCCGGCCGGGUCUUUCCCUCUGUGGAACCCCAUGCCCUUCACUGGGUGUGGCGGGGAAACAGGACUUUUACUUUGAAAAAAUUAGAGUGCUCCAGGCAGGCCUAUGCUCGAAUAUAUUAGCAUGGAAUAAUAGAAUAGGACGUGUGGUUCUAUUUUGUUGGUUUCUAGGACCGCCGUAAUGAUUAAUAGGGACAGUCGGGGGCAUCAGUAUUCAAUUGUCAGAGGUGAAAUUCUUGGAUUUAUUGAAGACUAACUACUGCGAAAGCAUUUGCCAAGGAUGUUUUCAUUAAUCAGGAACGAAAGUUAGGGGAUCGAAAACGAUCAGAUACCGUUGUAGUCUUAACCAUAAACUAUGCCGACUCGGGAUCGGACGAUGUUAUUUUUUGACUCGUUCGGCACCGUACGAUAAAU